AAAGGGACUGCCGAAAACCUUUUAACAGAGUAGGCA
rfam:Mucilaginibacter pedocola strain TBZ30 scaffold3, whole genome shotgun sequence.